AAUAGAUACCCCGGUAGUCCACGCCGUAAACGGUGGGCACUAGGUGUGGGCGACAUUCCACGUCGUCCGUGCCGCAGCUAACGCAUUAAGUGCCCCGCCUGGGGAGUACGGCCGCAAGGCUAAAACUCAAAGGAAUUGGCGGGGGCCCGCACAAGCGGCGGAGCAUGUGGCUUAAUUCGACGCAACGCGAAGAACCUUACCAAGGCUUGACAUACACCGGAAAACCCUGGAGACAGGGUCCCCCUUGUGGUCGGUGUACAGGUGGUGCAUGGCUGUCGUCAGCUCGUGUCGUGAGAUGUUGGGUCAAGUCCCGCAACGAGCGCAACCCUUGUCCCGUGUUGCCGGCAGGCCCUUGUGGUGCUGGGGACUCACGGGAGACCGCCGGGGUCAACUCGGAGGAAGGUGGGGACGACGUCAAGUCAUCAUGCCCCUUAUGUCUUGGGCUGCACACGUGCUACAAUGGCCGGUACAAUGAGCUGCGAUACCGCGAGGUGGAGCGAAUCUCAAAAAGCCGGUCUCAGUUCGGAUUGGGGUCUGCAACUCGACCCC
rnacentral:rRNA from 1 species